UACGUAGGGGGCGAGCGUUGUCCGGAAUUACUGGGCGUAAAGGGUGCGUAGGCGGCUAUUUAAGUUGGAUGUGAAAUACCCGGGCUUAACUCGGGGGGUGCAUUCAAAACUGGAUGGCUAGAGUGCAGGAGAGGGAAGCGGAAUUCCUAGUGUAGCGGUGAAAUGCGUAGAUAUUAGGAGGAACACCAGUGGCGAAGGCGGCUUUCUGGACUGUAACUGACGCUGAUGCACGAAAGCGUGGGGAGCAAACAGG
rnacentral:rRNA from 1 species